rnacentral:rRNA from 1 species
UCAGGCCUAACACAUGCAAGUCGCACGAGAAAGGGCGCAAGCCCCGGUACAGUGGCGCACGGGUGAGUAACACGUAGAUGACCUUCCCUGGAGUGGUGGAUAACCUGCCGAAAGGCGGGCUAAUACAGCAUAGGACCACGCGGUUUUGACUGUGUGGUGAAAGCGGGCCUCUGUUCACAUGCUCGCGCUUCGGGAUGGGUCUGCGGCCCAUCAGCUAGUUGGUGAGGUAACGGCUCACCAAGGCAACGACGGGUAGCUGGUCUGAGAGGAUGAUCAGCCACACUGGAACUGAGACACGGUCCAGACUCCUACGGGAGGCAGCAGUGGGGAAUCUUGCGCAAUGGGCGAAAGCCUGACGCAGCGACGCCGCGUGGGUGACGAAGGCCUUCGGGUUGUAAAGCUCCUGUGGGGAGGAACGA